CCUACGGGUGGCAGCAGUGGGGAAUAUUGCGCAAUGGGCGAAAGCCUGACGCAGCGACGCCGCGUGAGGGAUGAAGCUCUUCGGAUCGUAAACCUCUGUCAGCAGGGAAGAACGGUCACUGUGCUAAUCAGCAGUGACUUGACGGUACCUGCAAAGGAAGCACCGGCUAACUCCGUGCCAGCCGCCGCGGUAAUACGGUGGGUGCGAGCGUUAAUCGGAAUUACUGGGCGGAAAGCGCACGUAGGCGGUAUGUCAAGUGAAGGGUGAAAUCCCCGCGCUCAACGUGGGAACUGCCUUUGAAACUGUCAAACUGGAGUGUGUGAGAGGAUAGUGGAAUUCCAGGUGUAGGGGUGAAAUCCGUAGAUAUCUGGAGGAACAUCAGUGGCGAAGGCGACUAUCUGGCACAUAACUGACGCUGAGGAGCGAAAGCGUGGGUAGCAAACAGGAUUAGAUACCCUAGUAGUC
rnacentral:rRNA from 1 species